CCAGCCACACCUCACCUCCUCACCUGUGGCUAAGAACCUUCCCAAGGUUACUUUUGAAACAAAGUUCUCCUUCCGCGAAGUGAUGAAAUCAGUGUCUCCGUCUCUGGAAGAGAAAACAAAAGAGUUUCACCAGGCAAUACUUAAAGUCACGGGCUUCAUGAAGGGGGACACGGUCAAACUGAGGUCCGUCAGGAGACCGUACUCUAGAUACAGGUACAACCAAAACACUGAGGCGAAAGAGUCGAUCAGAGCUCAGGAGAUAGAGGUGAGUCGAGUGAGACAGAAGCAGCUAGAGCUGAAGAUCGCUAAGCUAAGCAACUCCAUCCAAUUGAGUGGUGUGGGUGAGGUAACAGGGCUCGAUACCGUGACCGUACACUUUCCUGAGCACCCUGGUUGGAAGGGGAGUUCUUCUGAGCUGGAACUGAGAGAAAGAAAGAUCCAUGAUAAUAAUGAUGAUAAUAAUCUCUGACAUAUUUUCUUUCCCUGACAUUUAUUUUGUACCGACCAAAACCACCCUGUCCCUCUAUCCUAAUGCUCUGCUGAUGCUCUAUGCAAAUACCUUCGACAUUUAUUUUAUGUAACAUUAUGAACCGCUGCAAAGAUCACAUCUUGAAAAUCAUUCAUGAAUCGAUUACCUCGCUCUUCUUUCUGCCUUUGUUAGCGUGUAACAAUCUCACAAUAGCUCACAAUGGUGCAUGUCACUUUGGCAGUGUCACAGUAGAGUGGAAUUUAUUAACACAAUGCAGCCUAGACUUUCCUGAGCUCUCUGGUUGGCAGUGGAGUUCUUCUGAGCUGGAACUGGUAUACAAGAUAAAUAAAGAUCCAUGAUCACUUACUUAUCUACUUCCCCUGAUGUUUAUUUUCGACCGACCAAAACCAUCCUGUCCCUCUAUGCAAAUGCUCUGCUGAUGUUCUAUGCAAAUACCUUUGGCCUUUAUUGUAUGUAACAUUAUGAAAAGCUGCAAAGAUCCCAUCUUGAAAUCAUUCAUGGAUCGAUUUCUUCACUCUUCUUUCUGCCUUUGUUAGCGUGCAACAAUCUCCAUAUUAUGAUCUCACAAUAGUGCAUGUCACUUUUGCAGUGUCACAGUAGAGUGGGAUUUAUUAACAAUGCAGCCUAUAUGUCAAUGCGACAAUGCCUUUGUUUCUUGCUCAUUAAGUUUCAUCUAUAGAAGACUUGUGACCUGUUAAUCAGUUAAAGACUUACGUUGUUCUUUAAAUACAUUUUGUUGUCAUGUAAGGGUAGGUGUCAAGUAAUGCACAUUAUAUAUCACAGCUUUAUCAGUGCCGAUGUUGGAGUAUAUUUCACCUUGAGGCUUUAUGAAUAAACAAAUGAAUGCAUUGAUUCUUGUUUGUUUAUGUUGUGUUUUACUUUUUUUUACUAAUGUUAGAAGCUGGUUAGCUAGGAGCAGUAGCUUGGCUUGCUAUUUACUGGUAGAUGAACCGAUUCAUCAAUCACAGGAUGACUUCUCUUCAUGGUGUUCAGGGGUUUAGAAAGUGUAGCUUUUUUUGCAUGUGACUGGUGUAAUAUGUUUUAAUUUCAGGCUGUAAGGCAACAAAGGGUGGACGUUUUGAAACUG
ensembl:lncRNA